rnacentral:rRNA from 1 species
UGAGUACGAGAUGCUACGGCAUCGAAGCAGUCUAUGUCAUACUUCCAAGAAAAGCUUGCAAUGUCAUAAACAAAUAAUGCCUGUACCAUAACCGACACAGGUGGGUAGGUAGAGUAUACUAAGGGGCGCGAGAUAACUCUCUCUAAGGAACUCGGCAAAAUGACUCCGUAACUUCGGGAGAAGGAGUGCCUUAUUUUUAUAAGGUUGCAAUAACAAGAUCCAAGCAACUGUUUACCAAAAACACAGGUCUCCGCUAAGUCGUAAGACGAUGUAUGGGGGCUGACGCCUGCCCAGUGCCAGAAGGUUAAAGAAGUUGGUUAGCAUUAGCGAAGCUGAUAACCGAAGCCCUGGUGAACGGCGGCCGUAACUAUAACGGUCCUAAGGUAGCGAAAUUCCUUGUCGGGUAAGUUCCGACCCGCACGAAAGGCGUAAUGAUUUGGAUACUGUCUCGGAGAGGGGCUCGGUGAAAUAGACUUGUCUGUGAAGAUGCGGACUACCUGCACCUGGACAGAAAGACCCUAUGAAGCUUUACUGUAACUUGAGAUUGAAAUUGGACUUUAUCUGCGCAGUAUAGGUGGGAGACGUUGAAAAUAUUCUUGCGGGAAUAUUGGAGUCAUCAGUGAGAUACCACUCUUAUAAUGUUAGAUUUCUAACUUUGUAUCAUUAUCUGGUCAAAGAACAGUUUCAGGCGGGCAGUUUGACUGGGGCGGUCGCCUCCCAAACGGUAACGGAGGCGCACAAAGGUUUCCUCUGAACGUGUAGAAAUCGUAUCUAGAGUGUAAAGGCAUAAGGAAGCUUGACUGUGAGACCUACAAGUCGAGCAGGGACGAAAGUCGGUCUUAGUGAUCUGACGGUGCUGAGUGGAAAGGCCGUCACUCAACGGAUAAAAGUUACUCUAAGGAUAACAGGCUGAUCUCCCCCAAGAGUUCACAUCGACGGGGAGGAUUGGCACCUCGAUGUCGGCUCAUCGCAUCCUGGGGCGGUAGUACGUCCCAAGGGUUGGGCUGUUCGCCCAUGAAAGCGGUACGCGAGCUGGGUUCAGAACGUCGUGAGACAGUUCGGUCCAUAUCCGGUGUAGGCGUUAGAAUAUUGAGAGGAGCCUUCUUUAGUACGAGAGGACCGAGAAGGACAUACCUCUGGUGUACCUGUUAUCGUGCCAACGGUAAACGCUGGGUAGCCAUGUAUGGAGAGGAUAACCGCUGAAAGCAUCUAAGUGGGAAGCCCACCUCAAGAUAAGUAUUCUC